UGCAAGUCGUGCGAGAAAAUACCCUUCGGGGUAUGAGUACAGCGGCGAAUGGGUGAGUAAUACGUGGACAACCUGCCCCGGAGUCCGGGAUAACCCAGGGAAACUUGGACUAAUACCGGAUGGCAACCAGAUGACACCUGUCUUUUGGAUUAAAGCUCCGCGCUCCGGGAGGGGUUCACGGCCUAUCAGCUUGUUGGCGGGGUAACGGCCCACCAAGGCUAUGACGGGUAGCCGGACUGAGAGGUUGAACGGCCACAUGGGCACUGAGACACGGGCCCAAUACCUACGGGUGGCAGCAGUAGGGAAUUUUGCGCAAUGGGCGCAAGCCUGACGCAGCGACGCCGCGUGCGGGACGAAGCCCUUCGGGGUGUAAACCGCUUUUCUGAGGGAAGAACACUGACUGUACCUCAGGAAUAAGCACCGGCUAACUCCGUGCCAGCAGCUGCGGUGAUACGGAGGGUGCAAACGUUGUUCGGAUUUACUGGGCGUAAAGGGUCCGUAGGCGGCCCGGCAAAUCGGUUGUGGAAUCCCGGCGCUCACCGUCGGAAUUGCUGCCGAAAAUACCGGGCUAGAGUCCGUCAGGGGCAGGUGGAACUCAUGGUGGAGCGGUGAAAUGCGUAGAUAUCAUGAGGAACGCCGGAGGCGAAAGCGACCUGCUGGGGCGGCACUGACGCUGAGGGACGAAAGCUAGGGGAGCAAACAGGAUUAGAUACCCUGGUAGUCCUAGCCGUAAACGAUGAACACUAGGUGGAGGGGGCUUCGGUUCUCUCUGCUGCAGCU
rnacentral:rRNA from 1 species